rnacentral:lncRNA from 1 species
ACUGUUGUCCCUUGGAAGCUUCAGAGGACCAUAUUGAGCCUUUGAUUGAGUGGAAGGGAAACGAUGAUGCUACUGUUACUUGUGCUCCGAAAGAAAUGGGUGGCUGUGGUGAUUGCAUGUUGGAUCUUAAGCGAAUCCUUCCACCUGACUGGAUCUCAAAUUUAGGAGUCAAAGCAAAACAUUUAUUAGAGAUUUUCCGAACAGAACAUUCUACUUUCAAGCGUGAUUGUGCUGAAAGAAGAAGGGAUACGUUACUAAAAGCAGCUUCUAGAGAGGAUUCUCGUGACAACUUCUUAUUUUGUCCAGAUUCAAGGGACACUCUGAAAGAAGAAGGGCUUUUGCGCUUCAAAGAACAUUGGGUUAAUGGUGAACCAGUUAUUGUCAGAAAUGUGCUUGAACAGGCAAAUGGAUUGAGCUGGGAGCCAAUGGUCAUGUGGCGUGCUUUAAGUGAAAAUAUGGAUAUAGCUAGUACCUCACAGUUUUCAAAAGUAAAGACCAUCGAUUGCCUGGCGGGUUGUGAGGUGAGGUUCUCUUACCAGUUAUUACUCUAUGCACUCUUUUAACUUUCUUGCAAAAAAAUAAAUUAUUUGGCAUUGCAUUUGUUUGUAUAUCUAUAAGUUCCUUUUCAAAUCUACUUGUUUUAUAGUGUGGUACAUCAAUCUGAUUUCUUAUUCGGGUUAACUUUUAUAUUUUUAUUCCAUAUAUUUUCACACUUCAUUCAUUUGGCACAAUCUUGUUCCUGCCUGGACCUGUGGCUUCCAGGAGUUUGGUUUAAAAGUCUUCUGUCUCCCUCCCACAAACAUUUUUCUCAAGUUUUUUCUUUUCUCUUUUGACUUGGUUUUCCCUACCCAUGCACUUCUAAUGCUGAUUUGUGAACUUUUUCAGGUGGAAAUCAAUACUCGUGAAUUUUUUGAAGGAUACACUGAAGGGAGAAUGUAUAGUAAUUUAUGGCCAGAGAUGCUUAAGCUGAAGGAUUGGCCCCCUUCUGAUAAGUUUGAGGACCUUUUGCCCCGCCAUUGUGAUGAAUUUAUCAGUGCCUUGCCAUUUCAAGAGUACACGGAUCCUAGAUCUGGUAUUCUCAACCUUGCUGUUAAGUUGCCACCAGGUGUUUUGAAACCAGACAUGGGCCCAAAAACAUAUAUUGCUUAUGGGCUUAUGGAAGAGCUUGGAAGAGGGGACUCUGUAACUAAACUUCAUUGCGACAUGUCCGAUGCAGUAUGACUUUAAACUAUUACUAUCUUUUUAUUUAUUCUUUCUCAUACUGUAAUGUCUUUCCCUGGAUAUCGGUUCACUUUGCAGCGACCCAAAAAAAUAGGUUUAUGCUGAUAUUUUGACACGUUAUUUCAAUUUGUGUAGGUGAAUAUUUUGACACACACAUCAGAAGUACAGCUAAGUGAUGAGCAGCAAUCUGCAAUUUCAAGGUUGAACAAAUUACAUAGGGCCCAAGAUGAAAGAGAGCUUAUGGAUUGGAUGAAUUCUCUCAAGGAUGGUGGACAACCUGGUCAACAGACACAGGAUAGAGAAGCCCUAGAAAACACUCUCUCUCCUGAAAUUAACGUAGAAUUGAAAGUACCAGAAGAUGAAGAUGAAGAUGAAGAUGAGUUAGAUGGGCCCACUACAUCCGGUUCUUCCUCCACCGAAGUGGCAGAGGAAACUGGUGGUGCUUUGUGGGACAUCUUCCGGAGAGAGGAUGUUCCUAAAUUAGAGGCAUACCUUAUGAAACAUUAUAAGGAAUUUAGGCACACCUAUUGUUCACUAGUUGAACGGGUAUGUAUCUAUCCUCAGUUUUUGUCUAGCCAAAUUGUGCUUAAAAGGGUGCUGUAUGUAUUUAUUUAUUUUAAUGUCCUUAUUUUUGUGUGUUCAGGUCAUUCAUCCAAUUCAUGACCAAUCCUUUUAUUUAACAUUGGAGCACAAAAAGAAGCUGAAGGAGGAAUUUGGUGUUGAACCAUGGACGUUUCUACAAAAACUUGGAGAGGCAGUAUUUAUUCCAGCCGGAUGUCCACACCAAGUCAGGAAUCUCAAGGUCCUAUAUCAUUAGUUAUCUUCACGAUUCCUCUUUCCAAAGAUUUUGUCUUGUUUAAUAGUUCCUCUAAAAUAUUAUGUUUUCAUCCUGCAGUCUUGUACAAAAGUAGCAGCCGACUUCGUGUCUCCUGAAAACGUCCACGAGUGCCUCCGUUUGACCGAGGAGUUCAGACAACUUCCGAAGAACCAUAGAGCUAGAGAAGACAAACUUGAGGUAACUACUCUGUUUAACUGUAAGCAAUUUUGUUUCACUUUAUUUCUUCUCCUUAACUUGUUUGGUCAUUCAUCUUCUUGGUGGAACAGAUAAAGAAAAUGAUACUUUAUGCAGUCGACGAAGCCCUUAAAGAUUUGGAAGCCUUAGUAUCAACUCAAGUUUGAGCGUUAGGAGCUAACUCCCCCAACCUGACAACUAUGCAAUUGUAUUUUCUCAUAAUACUGAUGUUGGCUUAUGUAAUUUUUUGCUCAGCAACAUUUUUGUAAAGUCGAAAAGUUCGUUGGGGUUCUCUUUGCAGUCCAAAUAAAUUGAAGCCAAUUAUACUUGAUUUAAGGCCAACAUCUUUACCUUGGAUGAACCCAUUGUUAUUGUCACGGUAUAAAUGUUUCCAUUAGAUGUUUGAGCUUAAAGGCAGAAGUAGUAGACCAACUAGUGUUAGAUUCCUAGCAUGAACGAUAAAAUCAAAGGUAGAAUGAAAUGAAACUAAGCUAAUAUCUACUCAACGAAAUUAAGCAAAACAUAUGUAUGCAUUGUGAGUUAAGGAAAAAGAACUUUUAGUGUUUCGUGAGAACCAUAUUAAGUGUUUUUUUGUUUUUGUUUUUGUUUUUUUUUUCGGCACUUAUUUUGCUCAGUAUUCCAAAAUUAUGUCUUGAUUGAAGAACACCUAAUGAAGUUCAACUCCAAUGAUUCGAUGAUUCGAAUCGUCUAUUUUUAAGUGGAUCAUUUCUACAAAAUAAAUAAAUAAAUUAGACCUACCAAGGAAAAUAGAAUAACAUGGUGCUUCCUAGAAACAUUAAAGUUACCACAUUUUUAAAUACAAACGAUAGUCUAAGCUAUAAGGGAAAAAUUAAACUACAAUAUAUAGUGGGUCUUACAAAGACCUCGCUCAAAUGAAACCACAUUUUCAUCUGCAAACGUUUCUUCAUAGACCUUAUUUUUCCAUGAAGACUAAAGUGCCUUUUGGGUUAAAUGGUCUUUUAACCCUGUAGAAAGCACUUCUAUAUAUUUUUACCAAAAACUACAAAAAUAAAUGAGUUUUUUUAAUUAAUCAAAAAUACUUUGGGCUAAUAUCACUAUCAAAUGUAAGCACAUCUAAGGGCUCGUUUGUGAGUGAUUCUAGAUAGACCAGAAUUAUUUCUGGGAAGAAGCACCCAGUGGCGGAGCCAGGAUUUCACAUUAGAGAAGGAAGGCCCUCCAUAAAAUAAAACCUGUCUCUCUUCAUAAUUAUCAUGAAUUUCAUAUUUUAAAUUGGUUAAAUACUAAUUUCAUCAUCUACACUAUUAAAGACUUAAAAAUUAGUAAUUUAUAUUCCAACAUAAAAUAAAUAGGAAAAAAAAAAAGAAUUCAUAAACCGCAAUAUUUAGGGACCCAACUCAUACAUAAAAAAUGAGGAAAAUAAAACAAGAAGAAAAAGAGAAAGAAACAUUAAAACUUUAGGAGUUUUUAGUGCAAAUAUCAUAAACUAACCUACAAGAUGUGAGGGAGAUCAAGAAAUUUUGGUUAAUUUGUGGACAAAAAGAACCUAAUAUAUUAUUUUAUUUUAAGGUAAAUAUCCUAAAACUAAUCUAAUAUAUUAUAAUAUCAUAUAUCAUAUAUCAUAUAUAAUAUACAAAUAGAAGAGAUAAAAAUGGAGUGGGCUUUGGGACCACACUGGUCCCAUGCUGGCUCCACCUUGGAAGCACCUUCCAGAUGCUUCUCCAAAAAAUCACUAAAAGUGAUUAUUUGGAUAAAUGAUUCUCCAUAAAAGUGAUUGUUGGCAUAUCCAUAGGGCUUGUUUCGGAGUGAUUCUAAAUUUACUAGAACCACUUUUGAGGAGAAGCAUCUCCCAUGUGCUUCUUCAUAGAAUCACUUUGAGUGAUUUUAAGUGAUUAUGGAGAGAAACACAUUUCAUGUGCUUCUCCAUAAAACCACUUAAAACCACUUAAAGUGAUUAUACGGAGAAGUAAUUCUCCAUAGAAGUGAUUAUUGGCCUAUUCAGAAUCACUCCCAAACCAGCCCAUAAUCACUCUCAAACCAGCCCUAAGUUGUUAAUGAAAAAUCUUAUGCAAGUGCUUCUACAUGAAGUACUUUUGCUCAUAAGCACCUCUCCAAAAAGCGAUUUAUGACUCGCAAGAAAUUUUGAAUUGUUCUACCAAAUGCAGUCAGAAUUUAUCAGGAAGCGCUUUCAGCCAUUGCAAAAACACUCUCAAACAUGACCUAAGUAAAAUAUUAUGUCUUAUCAUUUACAAAUAAAAAGGACAAACUCAAUCAUAUAUUUUCCAAAUUUUCUCAAAACUUUUAAAAACAACUUGCAUGCAUCACACACAUAAACACCUACACAUCUAUAAAUUUUUGGAUGCACACCAGUAUAUACCUUAAUAUGGCACAAAUCAUGAUAUUAGGGCCCAUCUGAUAACAUGAUUAAUUAUUUUUUUAAAAAAAUAUAUAUUAUUUGCAUAUAUAUACUUAGCUAAAUUGGUUAGAGCUGAUAUGACUCAUUCUGCACUCGAGUUCGAAUAUCCUUUCACAUAGUUUAUAUUAUAUUAAAAAGUAUAAAAAAAAUACAUAUAUAUUAUUUGAGAUUUUUCUAUUAGAAAAUGGGUUUGAAAAAAGAAAAAUUAAAGUAAAAAUCUCAUUAUUUCUAUCUUCUUCCUUUAUGUUUUAACAUGCAUCAUAAACAACAGAUAAUUAUAAAAUAAUAAAUAACAAAGUUUAAGAGAAAAAUUGCUUCCACAAAAGAAGUUCUCCUAUUGUGCAGGUUCCUUACCCAUAAUUACUAGCAGCCCAUGAAUAGCAACCUUUCUCAAACAAUGAAAACAUCUCUUUAGGCUUUUGGAGAUCUCAGGCGCUCCACAAGCAAUCCACCAUGUUUCAAGGCAAUAAUUGGCAAACUCUUCUAUUAGAAAUCAACCAUGAAUCAUUGUGUGGAGUAUGGUUUUUUGCUCUACAGAUCUUCAUAUCAGUAUGCAUGCCUAAGCAUACCUUGUUUGAAAGCACCAAUUGCUGAAACCAGUCAAGACCAAAAGAUGAAUUGCUUGAGAGCAUUGAAACCUUGAAAUGCCAAGAGAACACAUCUUGAAAGAAGACCAAACAAAAUGGUAGGGUACAAGUCCUUUUUUCUAGUUAGAUCUAGGGUUUCAUAGUCUAUGUGAAAUGACAAAUUUGCCCUUACUUUAGAAUCCAAUUAAAGAAGUUGAAUAAAUCAUGGC